UUAAAUUGAAGAGUUUGAUCAUGGCUCAGAUUGAACGCUGGCGGCAGGCCUAACACAUGCAAGUCGAACGGUAACAGGAAACAGCUUGCUGUUUCGCUGACGAGUGGCGGACGGGUGAGUAAUGUCUGGGAAACUGCCUGAUGGAGGGGGAUAACUACUGGAAACGGUAGCUAAUACCGCAUAACGUCGCAAGACCAAAGAGGGGGACCUUCGGGCCUCUUGCCAUCGGAUGUGCCCAGAUGGGAUUAGCUAGUAGGUGGGGUAACGGCUCACCUAGGCGACGAUCCCUAGCUGGUCUGAGAGGAUGACCAGCCACACUGGAACUGAGACACGGUCCAGACUCCUACGGGAGGCAGCAGUGGGGAAUAUUGCACAAUGGGCGCAAGCCUGAUGCAGCCAUGCCGCGUGUAUGAAGAAGGCCUUCGGGUUGUAAAGUACUUUCAGCGGGGAGGAAGGGAGUAAAGUUAAUACCUUUACUCAUUGACGUUACCCGCAGAAGAAGCACCGGCUAACUCCGUGCCAGCAGCCGCGGUAAUACGGAGGGUGCAAGCGUUAAUCGGAAUUACUGGGCGUAAAGCGCACGCAGGCGGUUUGUUAAGUCAGAUGUGAAAUCCCCGGGCUCAACCUGGGAACUGCAUCUGAUACUGGCAAGCUUGAGUCUCGUAGAGGGGGGUAGAAUUCCAGGUGUAGCGGUGAAAUGCGUAGAGAUCUGGAGGAAUACCGGUGGCGAAGGCGGCCCCCUGGACGAAGACUGACGCUCAGGUGCGAAAGCGUGGGGAGCAAACAGGAUUAGAUACCCUGGUAGUCCACGCCGUAAACGAUGUCGACUUGGAGGUUGUGCCCUUGAGGCGUGGCUUCCGGAGCUAACGCGUUAAGUCGACCGCCUGGGGAGUACGGCCGCAAGGUUAAAACUCAAAUGAAUUGACGGGGGCCCGCACAAGCGGUGGAGCAUGUGGUUUAAUUCGAUGCAACGCGAAGAACCUUACCUGGUCUUGACAUCCACGGAAGUUUUCAGAGAUGAGAAUGUGCCUUCGGGAACCGUGAGACAGGUGCUGCAUGGCUGUCGUCAGCUCGUGUUGUGAAAUGUUGGGUUAAGUCCCGCAACGAGCGCAACCCUUAUCCUUUGUUGCCAGCGGUCCGGCCGGGAACUCAAAGGAGACUGCCAGUGAUAAACUGGAGGAAGGUGGGGAUGACGUCAAGUCAUCAUGGCCCUUACGACCAGGGCUACACACGUGCUACAAUGGCGCAUACAAAGAGAAGCGAACUCGCGAGAGCAAGCGGACCUCAUAAAGUGCGUCGUAGUCCGGAUUGGAGUCUGCAACUCGACUCCAUGAAGUCGGAAUCGCUAGUAAUCGUGGAUCAGAAUGCCACGGUGAAUACGUUCCCGGGCCUUGUACACACCGCCCGUCACACCAUGGGAGUGGGUUGCAAAAGAAGUAGGUAGCUUAACCUUCGGGAGGGCGCUUACCACUUUGUGAUUCAUGACUGGGGUGAAGUCGUAACAAGGUAACCGUAGGGGAACCUGCGGUUGGAUCACCUCCUUACCUUAAAGAA
rnacentral:rRNA from 1 species